AUUUAUUAAAAUGUCUUUUCAUGGUAUAUAUUGUACUGAUAAAUGUUAGUAUAGAAUAUAUUAAAGCCUGUUCAAAGUAGUACAAAUUUAAUGCACAUGCUACAGAUGGUAAAAAAAGAUAUUUAAUGAAGUUGGUGUCCAGGCAAAACUAACUGGUUAAGAAUUGGAGAAGACAAUACAAGAUUUAUGACGACAAAAAAAUAUUGUUUACUAAUUAUGGUUAAAAUGAGCCAGUGUUGUAUUAUAAAAUAAAUUAGAUAUUUG